rnacentral:lncRNA from 1 species
GACCAGCGUUGGGAAAUUAGGCUGGAGCCAUCAUGAAAACUUUUUCAGGCAGUGCACGCUCGCCUGUGCCUGCCCAUCUGCUUCCAACCUCUCCCCACCUUUCGGGGCGCAGCCUGCCUGCUCCAUCGGAAUGCCCUUUAGAUGAAUCCCCUUGUGCUGUUACUGUGUCCUUGUCGUCCAGCUCUCUGGUUUUCUUUUCUAUACACCUUCUCGGUUUCCAGAGUCUUAAUUCGCCUGCUUGUCCUUAACCAUCAAAACUCUUUAUUAAUAUCCUGGCUUUCGCUGAUUUUUAUUCUCCCUACCCCUUCUCCCUAGCUAUGUAUUGCUGGGUGAGCUCCCGAGGCUUGAAAACCCAAGUAUGCUGUGCUGGCUGCGUUGUAAUCGGUAGAGAGCCACCAGCUAAAAAUUGUAUUUUGUACCAACUCUAAUGGCAUUUAAUAAAUGUAUACCUAAAAA